GGAAUCAUAGUUCAAUGGUAGAACGCUUACCUAGCAUGUGUGAGGCUCUGGGUUCAAUCCCCAGCACCACCA
rnacentral:tRNA from 1 species